UACGGGGGGGAGCAAGCGUUGUUCGGAUUUACUGGGCGUAAAGGGCGCGUAGGCGGUCGUGACAAGUCACUUGUGAAAUCUCCGGGCUUAACUCGGAACGGUCAAGUGAUACUGUCGGACUAGAGUACAGAAGGGGCAACCGGAAUUCCCAGUGUAGCGGUGAAAUGCGCAGAUAUCAGGAGGAACACCGAUGGCGAAGGCAGGUCUCUGGGCAUUAACUGACGCUGAGGAGCGAAAGUAUGGGGAGCGAACAGG
rnacentral:rRNA from 1 species